rnacentral:rRNA from 1 species
UACGUAGGGAGCAAGCGUUGUCCGGAUUUAUUGGGCGUAAAGAGCGUGUAGGCGGCCUGAAAGGUCAGCUGUGAAAACUCGAGGCUCAACCUCGAGACGUCGGUUGAAACCAUCUGGCUAGAGUCCGGAAGAGGAGUGUGGAAUUCCCGGUGUAGCGGUGAAAUGCGCAGAUAUCAGGAAGAACACCCGUGGCUAAGGCGGCUCUCUAGUACGGUACUGACGCUGAGACGCGAAAGCGUGGGGAGCGAACAGG